rnacentral:rRNA from 1 species
AUUGAACGCUGGCGGCAGGCUUAACACAUGCAAGUCGAGCGGGGAAAGGUAGCUUGCUACCUGACCUAGCGGCGGACGGGUGAGUAAUGCUUAGGAAUCUGCCUAUUAGUGGGGGACAACAUUCCGAAAGGAAUGCUAAUACCGCAUACGCCCUACGGGGGAAAGCAGGGGAUCUUCGGACCUUGCGCUAAUAGAUGAGCCUAAGUCAGAUUAGCUAGUUGGUGGGGUAAAGGCCUACCAAGGCGAGGAUCUGUAGCGGGUCUGAGAGGAUGAUCCGCCACACUGGGAAUGAGACACGGCCCAGACUCCUACGGGAGGCAGCAGUGGGGAAUAUUGGACAAUGGGCGAAAGCCUGAUCCAGCCAUGCCGCGUGUGUGAAGAAGGCCUUUUGGUUGUAAAGCACUUUAAGCGAGGAGGAGGCUACUUGGAUUAAUACUCUAGGAUAGUGGACGUUACUCGCAGAAUAAGCACCGGCUAACUCUGUGCCAGCCGCCGCCGUAA